AGUGAACGCUGGCGGUAGGCCUAACACAUGCAAGUCGAACGGCAGCACAGUAAGAGCUUGCUCUUACGGGUGGCGAGUGGCGGACGGGUGAGGAAUACAUCGGAAUCUACUUUUUCGUGGGGGAUAACGUAGGGAAACUUACGCUAAUACCGCAUACGACCUACGGGUGAAAGCAGGGGAUCUUCGGACCUUGCGCGAUUGAAUGAGCCGAUGUCGGAUUAGCUAGUUGGCGGGGUAAAGGCCCACCAAGGCGACGAUCCGUAGCUGGUCUGAGAGGAUGAGCAGGCAGACUGGAACUGAGACACGGUCCAGACUCCUACGGGAGGCAGCAGUGGGGAAUAUUGGACAAUGGGGGCAAGACUGAUCCAGCCAUACCGCGUGGGUGAAGAAGGCCUUCGGGUUGUAAAGCCCUUUUGUUGGGAAAGAAAAGCAGCAGGUUAAUACCCCGCUGUUCUGACGGUACCCAAAGAAUAAGCACCGGCUAACUUCGUG
rnacentral:rRNA from 1 species